GUAGGUGAACCUGCGGAAGGAUCAUUACUGAGUUCAUGCCCUAACGGGUAGAUCUCCCACCCUUGAAUAUAUAAACCUUUGUUGCUUUGGCGGGCCGCUUCGGCUACCGGCUUCGGCUGGUGAGUGCCCGCCAGAGAACCCAAAACUCUAUUAUCUCUGACGUCUGAGUACUAUAUAAUAGUUAAAACUUUCAACAACGGAUCUCUUGGUUCUG
rnacentral:misc_RNA from 1 species